UACGUAGGGUCCGAGCGUUGUCCGGAAUUAUUGGGCGUAAAGCGCACGUAGGCGGCAUUGCAAGUCGGAUGUGAAAUCCCUCGGCUUAACCAAGGAAGUGCAUCCGAAACUGCUGGGCUAGAGUCCUGGAGAGGAAGGUGGAAUGCUUGGUGUAGAGGUGAAAUUCGUAGAUAUCAAGCGGAACACCGGUGGCGAAGGCGGCCUUCUGGACAGUGACUGACGCUGAGACGGCGAAAAGCGUGGGGGAGCAAACAGG
rnacentral:rRNA from 1 species